AUUGAACGCUGGCGGCAGGCCUAACACAUGCAAGUCGAGCGAGCGGCGGGCGGGUGUGUAAUGUCUGGGGACUGCCCGAGAGAGGGGGAUAACUCCUGGAAACGGUCGCUAAUACCGCAUACUCUAGGAUAACCCAUAUGGGAUUAGCUAGUAGGUGAGGUAAUGGCUCACCUAGGCGACGAUCCCUAGCGGGUCUGCGCGGAUGCACAGCCACACGGGGACUGUGACACGGCCCAGACGCCAACGGAGGCAGCAGUGGGGAAUAUUGCACAAUGGGCGCAAGCCUGAUGCAGCCAUGGCGCGUGUAUGAAGAAGGCCCUAGGGUUGGAAAGUACUUUCAGUCGGGAGGCGUUACCGACAGAAGAAGCACCGGCUAACUCCGUGCCAGCAGCCGCGGUAAUAC
rnacentral:rRNA from 1 species